AACUUGAUCCAUGGGCCACUAAGGGCGGGUGUGUGUGUGGGGAACCUCCAUGGCGGUCCAUAUUUAAAUUUGGUUUUAGAUUUGUCUAAAAAUAUUUUGGCUGCCCAAGCACCAAUUAGGUAGCACCGAGUGUAUCACAGUAGAGGAAGCUGCAUCUGGCCUUGAACUGUGGGUAUUGGUGGGGUUUGUUGGGUCUCGUGGGAUGAAGACCACCAUCAGUGAAGAACUACUGCUCUGCAUUCAGGGAACUGGAGGAGCUAAAUGGUUGGAGUGGCCAGAACCCCAAGUUAAAGACAGCACAUACGGAGCACAGUAGGCACCAAAGGAAUGGAAUACACAGAAAAUGCCUCAUGGGAAUCCUCAGAAAUACAUAUGUAUGGCAGCUUCAUAGGGAUGGAGAGUCUGUCAGAGUCAUAUAAAUUUUACUUUAACCUAAUUUGUCUGCAUAGGUAAAUAUAUGGAUUAUUGGGAAAUUUCUUAGCCUUUUUCAAUGUUAAACCAGAAUUUCAUGUAAUACUUUUUCAUCAAUGUUCUCUCUUUAGCCUAAGGAUACCAAAGACCAGCUUAUUAAGCUGAUGACAGGAAAGACCACCAGAAAAAGCCAGUACUAAUCUGUAGCAGGGAAGUGUGGCUAAUACCACAGCUCUGUAAUGUAGUAAACUCACCUAGAAAAACUGAAUGUGAAUAGUCAUAGCUCUUUUACACUGUGAUUUUCAUCCAGUCAUUUAAAGGACAGGUGAUGGAAAGAGUCCUAGGUCAGAGACCAAGGGCUUUGUUACUCACAACAGGAAGCAGCAUGAGCAGCCCCGUAUUUGGUGCCUUUAAACUGCAUUUCCCCUUAGUGACCAGAAGAUAUCUCCAUGUGCAGUCGGUUGUGUUUCAGGAUAGAAAUUUCUGCACUCAGGUUCAUAGAGGACAAUAAGUGUGCUGGCCCGUUGCUUGAGAGGGAAACUCUAUCUUCCACGAAGGUUCACCUACACAAACAUCCUCCAUGCAAACUUCCUUGCAAAGAUAGUUUGUCACAAGAGUGGUCAAUGAUUCUGCUUGCAAGAUAUGCAGAAAAGCUUGAGACCCAUGAAGAAUUAUCUCCCAACAACAUUCAUAACUGGUUUUAAGAAAGUAAGUCAAAAUGUGAACAACAAAUCUAAAAUCUGCUUUUUGAGAGUACAUCUUGCCUGGAAGAAACCCUGCCACAAAUAAUAAAUCCUCAACUUGCCAUGACCUUUAGAUUGUUAACCGUAUCUUUGGGGGCAGUGUGCCCUUUUCUGGUGUGCUACUGAAGGACAAGUUUCUGUGCAAGUUUCUUCAGUGUUCUUCAGGACAAUUACUAAAAAACUUGUGAAGAGCGGGCUCUCACUCAUUACUAGCUUUCAUAUUCUCUGUCUCAUGUUCUGCAGGAUGAGGGGUAGAUCUAGUUAUCUGUCCUGGAGUGGAGUCUGAGAUGAAAACGAGGUUUCUGGAAAGGAAGUCUGACACAACAGCCAAAUCAUAAGCCAUAACUCCAUUCAGUCAUAUUGAACAGGCUAUGAAAUCGUAUUACCUAUGUACAAGGGAAAGAAAAAUCAAUAUGUGCUUUUCCUUCAUUUAAUGAAUGUCCUUCUCUAUCCUCCCUGCUUUGCUACCCCGAACGUUUUUACAUUAGCAUGAUAAGAAGCACUGGGAUGUGUGGGACAGGCCUGGGUGUUCAGAAGGCCAUUUCUCUCAGUCUGUGAAUACAGUUUUAAAACCAGUCUUUUGUCAUUAUUGCUAAAAAUAGUGUGGAAUCCAGAUAGAGCAAAGAUUUCUUCUGCCACCUCCUAGUGUUUCUGGGAACUGAAGGUAAGUACAUAUGGUACAAUAAAAAAGGUGCCAGACCUGGAAUUCCCUGCAGCUCCAUGCAAGUUGUUUAUGUGGUCUUGAUUAAGGCACUUAAUGUCUCUCUCAGAGGUUGGUAUUUUAAAUGGGAGAAUAAUCCUUGUUCUGCUAAUCUUACAAAUUCAUAAUGAUUUUUUUGUUGUUGUUGUUGUUAGCAACUUCCAACUUCUGGGCUAGGCAAUUGAUUCUAUUGCCUCAGCCUCCUGAGUAGCAGGGACUAUAGGUGCCCGCCAUAAUGCCCAGCUAUUUUUUGUUGCAGUUUGGCUGGGACCGGGUUUGAACCCGCCACCCUCAGUGUAUGGGACUGGCGCCCUACUCACUGAGCCAUAGGCGCCACCCCAUUAUGAUUAUUAAAUUAACAAUGUACUAUACUCGUAUGCAUAUGAAGGUGCUUUGGUAAUUGUUUGACACAAUUAUAAAAUGGCAUUAUACUUAUGGCAGAAUUUAAAUAAAGUAGGACUUUUCCUUAAUAUUGACAUGGAGAAACUUGUACUAUUUCCUCAAGUUUCAGUAUUGAUAAGGAGCAUAAUCUGAACGAUAAAAAACAGAGUCCACGUAAGAAUGAGUGACAUCCUAGAAUAUUAGGGAAAUCUCAGUAAAAAUCACACAACAUUGUUCUCGAUUCCCACUCACUUGUUUUUCUUAGUUGCACAAUCCUCAGAUGUGACCAAGAGUGAUAACCAAGUUGUUCACUCAAAUUUCCAGGAAUAUUCGCCAUACUCUGUUCAUCUGAAGCUUCUGAAAGGUAAUGUCACCCUCAAUCUGUGAUUAAUCAUAAUGCUAAUGUUUUCUCUUUUUAACAAUUGGAGAGGUCUAAUAGGAAUCAACAAAUAUACUUUGGGUGGGUUGGAGAAGAAAAGGCUUUGUCUCUCUACAUGAAACUAGAACAAUUCAUGGAAACCAUGACCCACAAAGCAACCUAAAAUAUCUGCUUUUGUUUUAAAUUUGUAGAUAAAACAUAAAUACACUGUGAUUCCUUGGAUUCAAGCAACCAACCCAGAAUGAUACUGUGUAAGUUCUGGAGGCCACAGUAAAACCCACCGGGAGAUCUUAAAUUCUCAAGUUCUGCAGCUGUUAUUAGUCAUAAACAACAACAACAACGAUAACACAUUCCCGUGUGUAAGGGAACUUUCAAGUGCAGACUUCUGUGUUUCCUGAAUAUGAUCUGGUGAGACUAACAACCUCCAGUUUACCACGGAAGGUCUCUAUUCAUAGAGAGGCUUGCUUUACUCCAGAAUUAUUUCUUUAAUACUCCUUCCAAUAAUUCAUUGACAAGAUAAAAAUAUGGAAAAUGGCAAAGGGAAAUAAAAGAAAGAAAAUGAAGAUUAAGGUUAAGAUGAAGUAAUCCAACGUGACUGAUGUCUUUCUAAAAAGAGGAGACAGAUGCAGAAACAGAGGGAAGGCCGUGUGAAGAUCGGAGUUAUGUUGCCACAUACUGAGGAAUGCCAGGGGCUGUCAGAAGCCAGAAGGGUCACAAAUCAAAUAUAUCAAGGAUUUCCUAAACAUGGAGAAGAAAAGAAAACGAAAAAUGAGCCAGGCGGAGAACCGUGCUCUGAUUGUGGUUGGAACACAGUUAACAAUGUUGUGUGUGGCAAGACUAGCUUCGUCUCUGGAGUGCUGGCUUCCCCUUCUACUCUAUCCUCGGGCAGUCGAUUGGCAGGACAAGAUAAAGGCUUCAACUCACGGAUCCUACUCCCACUGCAAAUAAUGAAAGCCUAGGAAGGUCUUCAAACAGAUAAACAGCAUGCAUGAUGAGAGAGUUUGGGGAAAAAGCCACUUUCUUUUCAAUAACCUUAUAUUUUAAUAAAGCAUUUGAGAAUCAUUUACCUUCUAAAUGUGUGAAUAAUGAUGCCUUCAAUUUAAAUAGUAGAGAUGAAGUCUCUCAGGCAUCAUUCUGGACCAGAAAAAAAGAAGAAGAAACCCCAAACUCCAACAAACAAAAAGCCCCAAAACAUGGUCAGCCAUCUCCAGUGGACCC